GUGAGGAAUUUUCCGCAAUGGGCGAAAGCCUGACGGAGCAAUGCCGCGUGAAGGAUGAAGGCCUAUGGGUUGUAAACUUCUUUUCUUAGAGAGGAAUAUUGACGGUAUCUGAGGAAUAAGCAUCGGCUAACUCUGUGCCAGCAGCCGCGGUAAGACAGAGGAUGCAAGCGUUAUCCGGAAUGAUUGGGCGUAAAGCGUCUGUAGGUGGCUUCAAAAGUCUCCUGUCAAAGAUCAGGGCUUAACCCUGGGCCGGCAGGAGAAACUCUGAGGCUAGAGUUUGGUAGGGGCAGAGGGAAUUCCCGGUGGAGCGGUGAAAUGCGUAGAGAUCGGGAGGAACACCAAAGGCGAAAGCACUCUGCUGGGCCACAACUGACACUGAGAGACGAAAGCGAGGGGAGCAAAAGGGAUUAGAAACCCAUGUAGUCC
rnacentral:rRNA from 1 species